rnacentral:rRNA from 1 species
AGUGAACGCUGGCGGUAGGCCUAACACAUGCAAGUCGAACGGCAGCACAGUAAGAGCUUGCGCUUACGGGUGGCGAGUGGCGGACGGGGGAGGAAUACAUCGGAAACUACUCUGUCGUGGGGGCUAACGUAGGGAAACUUACGCUAAUACCGCAUACGACCUACGGGUGAAAGCAGGGGUUCUUCGGACCUUGCGCGAUUGAAAGAGCCGAUGUCGGAUGAGCUAGUUGGCGGGGCAAAGGCGCAGCAAGGCGACGAUCCGUAGCUGCUCUGAGAGGGUGAUCAGCCACACUGUCACUGAGGCACGGUCCCGACUCCUACGCUAGGCAGCAGUGGGGACUACUGCGCGAUGCAGCAGAGCCUGAUCCAGCCAUACCGCCUGGGUGAAGAAGCCCUUCUGGUUCUAGAGCCCUUUUGUUGGGAGAGUAGAACAGCACGUUAAUCCCCCGCUGUUCUGACGGUACCCAAAGAAUAAGCACCGGCUAACUUCGUG